rnacentral:rRNA from 1 species
UACGUAGGGGGCAAGCGUUGUCCGGAUUCAUUGGGCGUAAAGAGCGUGUAGGCGGCCAGGUAGGUCGGUUGUGAAAACUGGAGGCUCAACCUUCAGAGGUCGACCGAAACCAUCUGGCUAGAGUCCGGGAGAGGAGAGUGGAAUUCCUGGUGUAGCGGUGAAAUGCGCAGAUAUCAGGAAGAACACCGGUGGCGAAGGCGGAUCUCUGGGCCAUUACUGACACUGAGAAGCGAAAGCAUGGGGAGCGAACAGG